UGGUUCUGGCAUCGAUGAAGAACGCAGCGAAAUGCGAUAAGUAAUGUGAAUCGCAGAAUUCAGUGAAUCAUCGAAUCUUUGAACGCACAUUGCGCCUACCAGUAUUCUGGUGGGCAUGCCUGUUCGAGCGUCAUUUCGACCCUUAAGCCCCCGCGCGGGCCUAGUGUUGGGGCGUCUCUACAGCGGCCUCGCCCCUGUAGGCCCUUAAAGCCAGUGGCGGGCUCGCUAGUUCCCCGGGCGCAGUAAGCCGAGCGGGAGGGUCGCCCUCCCGUCUAUCCUUCGCCCAGGAGGUCUAGCGGGCUACCAGCCGUGAAAACUCACCGUCUUUACAGAAGGUUGACCUCGGAUCAGGUAGGAAUACCCGCUGA
rnacentral:misc_RNA from 1 species